rnacentral:lncRNA from 1 species
CAGGAGCAGCGCCUCCAUCUCUCUGACACACAGCACAGUGUUUCUUAAGGAGAACAUCACUUUCUGGACUCGCAGAGGUAAGAUUUGACGGAGUUCUGAAGACUUCUGUGAAAAAUUAGGUAAAAGAUGUGAAAUAUAAUGAACAUUUGUCUUUGUUUGAAUCAGAAUCAAAGUGGAAAAAAUAUGGGGAACGAGCAUUCAAAGAGCAAAGAGCCAAACAAGAAUGAGCAGAUCCCUGAGAAGCAUGGAAACGGCCAGGUGAACGGCAUCUCUGCACACACCACACUCAACGGGUUUGAUGAGCGGAAGAUGGACGUGAAAACUGAAACCACCGUCCAACAAAACGGCGAGCCUCAUUCUUUGGUCAUUAUGACUGAAUCCACUGAUUUUGUGGUCAUCAAAUCAGACUGUCUGACCGCUACUGUUAGUUCUGAAGUCCCUAAGGACACCGCCGCCAUCACCUCCAACACCUCCAACACCAGCAGUCCCAUCAGCACCACCGCCAACAGCCCCAGCAUCCCCAUCAAGAAGGCGGAGGCCAAGAAGAGCAAAGAAGAAAAAACACAUCUCUUUGGCAAAGUGUUCAAAAAGAAAGCAGAAGCUAAAGCUGACGUGAAGAACGUGGAAGAGAAAGAGAAAGAAGAAGAGAGAAGUGAAGAUCAGGCAGAUGUAAGUCUUCCUCCCUCUGACCCACCACAGGAGACAGCUAACCCAAAGAAUCAGGAAUCUGAAGAAUCGUUAGCGGAGCCAGAAAGCGCGACUCCAGAGUCCUCCAGGACAGAGGAAGACAAAGUUCCUGAAACUGAGAGUGGAGACUGUCAGCCUGCGGAAGACAGGAGCGAAGAGAAUCCAGUUAUGAACUUCUUCAAAACCCUGGUGACUACCACAAAAACAUCCAAAAAGGAAACUCCCGAUGCCACGAAAGAUCAGCCCCUGAAGGAGGCCCAGCCUGCAGCAGCCACGAGCCCUGCUGCACCAGCCUUCGAACCUCCUGCAGCUCCUAAAGGAAUGUCCGUCCCACCGCCGCCUCCUCCAGAGCCUCCCAAACUGGAAACCAAAGCAGAAGCAGCUGCCAAGCCCGUGAAGCCGGCACCGAAAGAGGAACCCAAAGCUGCUGCAAAGGAAGCCGAGUCCUCCAAAGGAAAGUCAGCCAAAGAUGCUCUGAGCAAACUCUUCCGCCCAAAGACAAUCAAGGAGGUGCCACCGCCAGCUGUAGAAGUAGUGGUACAGCCUGUAGAAGUGCAGGAGACACCAGCGGAGGAGCCGGCUCCUGUUGUAGAGGUGCAGAUUGAAAAUAAGGUUGAAGCUCAGGAGGCGGCAGCGGAGGAGGCGCACACAGUUGUAGACGCACAGACCGUGGAAAAAGCACCACAGCCAGAGACAGAAAGUGAGAAGGUGGAUCCCUCAAAGUCUGGCACACUGGAGGCUGCUGCAAAACCAGAACCACCGCCACCUGUUCAGGAAGAGAAGAAGCCAGCCACGAAAUCCUCCUUCCUUUCCAUCUUCAAGCCCAAAGCUGCUGAGGCCAAGAAGGCGACCCCGGCUCCACCCGCAGCAGCAGCCGCCGCAGCAGCAGCAGAGGCCGCUCCAGCGGUGAAAGCCAAAGAGGAGACCAAAGCUGCAGCCAAAUCCACAGAGGUGGCGGCAGACAGCAAACCAGCGGCGGCGGCUUCCCAAGCUGCAGACGACGCAGCCAACCUGCCCAAACGGCUGGAGAAGAGGAACUCCAUCCAGCUGUUCUUCAAAAAUCUGGGUCAGAAGCGCCACUCCACAGACGCCGGUGUCCAGACAGAGCCGGCGAUCGCAGCUGCUGCAGCUGAGAAAGCCAAAUGAAAGCGACCCUCUCUGUACAGACAAGCCCCUCUGUCCUCCGUCUUCCUCUUACUCAAUCUUUAUGUCUCUCAUCACUUUAACUACAGUUGUUGUGUUUAGACGUUUAAAAGAAAAGCUCGCUGGAUGGAGGAAGGAACUGAGAGACAGGUCUGAAGCCUUCUUCGAUGGCCUGUUGUAUAUUUUUGUCCAAGCACAGUGAAAUUAGACUUUUCUGGGGACUUCUCUCUGUUUUUGCUAACUAACACGUAUGCACUAUAUAAGCAGCUUUGCUUUUUGGAUUUAAAGUGUCACUGGCUGUUUUUCAGUUCAUAGCAGAGGUUUUGUGCAGUUGUGGCAACGCAGGAGCUAAAAUGAACAUUGUACUUAAUCAACAGCUGACAGGAGCAUGUUUAUAGAGCAGAAAGCACUGACAGACCUAACUCUAUGUAAUAUAGAAACACAGACUGUAUGGGAAAUCACAAUCUUACUGUUCUGAGGGGAACUGAUUGUAAAUAUUCAUGUUAACACACACGUCCGAGGCGUCGCUGUGCACAUGUGUCCGUGUGGUUCACUGUGUCAUUUAACUGAAGUUGGUCUCAUGCUGUCAGUCGGUCCUGUUUUUAGCAUAUGUGCAAUUAAUGCUUUUGCGUGCCUAUGUGUAUGCGUGUAUGUGUAACUUCAGCUACCUAAAAGGC